ACGUAGGGAGCGAGCGUUGUCCGGAAUUACUGGGUGUAAAGGGAGCGUAGGCGGGACAGCAAGUUGAAUGUGAAAUCUAUGGGCUCAACCCAUAAACUGCGUUCAAAACUGUUGUUCUUGAGUGAAGUAGAGGUAGGCGGAAUUCCUAGUGUAGCGGUGAAAUGCGUAGAUAUUAGGAGGAACACCAGUGGCGAAGGCGGCCUACUGGGCUUUAACUGACGCUGAGGCUCGAAAGCGUGGGUAGCAAACAG
rnacentral:rRNA from 1 species